rnacentral:rRNA from 1 species
UACGGAGGGUGCAAGCGUUAUCCGGAUUCACUGGGUUUAAAGGGUGCGUAGGCGGGCAGGUAAGUCAGUGGUGAAAUCCUGGAGCUUAACUCCAGAACUGCCAUUGAUACUAUCUGUCUUGAAUAUUGUGGAGGUAAGCGGAAUAUGUCAUGUAGCGGUGAAAUGCUUAGACAUGACAUAGAACACCUAUUGCGAAGGCAGCUUACUACGCAUAUAUUGACGCUGAGGCACGAAAGCGUGGGGAUCAAACAGG